rnacentral:rRNA from 1 species
UCCCCUAGUAACGGCGAGUGAAGCGGGAAGAGCUCAAAUUUGAAAUCUGGCGGUCUACGGCCGUCCGAGUUGUAAUCUAGAGAGGUGUUUUCCGUGCCGGACCGUGUACAAGUCCCUUGGAACAGGGCGUCAUAGAGGGUGAGAAUCCCGUCCAUGACACGGACUACCGGUGCUCUGUGAUACACCUUCAAAGAGUCGAGUUGUUUGGGAAUGCAGCUCAAAAUGGGUGGUAAAUUCCAUCUAAAGCUAAAUACAGGCGAGAGACCGAUAGCGAACAAGUACCGUGAGGGAAAGAUGAAAAGAACUUUGGAAAGAGAGUUAAACAGUACGUGAAAUUGUUGAAAGGGAAACGCUUGAAGUCAGUCGCGUCUGCCAGGACUCAGCCUUGCUUCUGCAUGGUGCAUUUCCUGGUGGAUGGGCCAGCAUCGAUUUUGGUCGCCGGACAAGGGCGGGAGGAAUGUGGCAGCUUGCUGUGUUAUAGCCUCCCGUCGUACACGGUGGUUGGGAUCGAGGACUGCAGCACGCCUUUGGUCGGGGUUCGCCCACGCCACGUGCUUAGGAUGCUGGCGUAAUGGCUUUAAACGACCCGUCUUGAAACACGGACCAAGGAGUCUAACAUGCCUGCGAGUGUUUGGGCGNUAAACCCAGGCGCGUAAUGAAAGUGAAAAGUUGGGACUCUUUAGUGAGGCACCGACGCCCGAUCCUGACGUUCUCUGACGGAUUUGAGGUAGAGCAUGUAUGUUGGGACCCGAAAGAUGGUGAACUAUGCCUGAAUAGGGUGAAGCCAGAGGAAACUCUGGUGGAGGCUCGUAGCGAUUCUGACGUGCAAAUCCGAUCGUCAAAUUUGGGUAUAGGGGCGAAAGACUAA